rnacentral:rRNA from 1 species
UACGUAGGGUGCAAGCGUUGUCCGGAAUUAUUGGGCGUAAAGAGCUCGUAGGUGGUCUGUCGCGUCGGCUGUGAAAACUCGGGGCUCAACCCCGAGCCUGCAGUCGAUACGGGCAGACUAGAGUGCUGUAGGGGAGACUGGAAUUCCUGGUGUAGCGGUGAAAUGCGCAGAUAUCAGGAGGAACACCGAUGGCGAAGGCAGGUCUCUGGGCCACUACUGACGCUGAGAAGCGGAAAGCAUGGGGAGCGAACAGG